rnacentral:rRNA from 1 species
GGGUUGUGAGGUUAAGCGACUAAGCGUACACGGUGGAUGCCCUGGCAGUCAGAGGCGAUGAAGGACGUGCUAAUCUGCGAUAAGCGUCGGUAAGGUGAUAUGAACCGUUAUAACCGGCGAUUUCCGAAUGGGGAAACCCAGUGUGAUUCGUCACACUAUCAUUAACUGAAUCCAUAGGUUAAUGAGGCGAACCGGGGGAACUGAAACAUCUAAGUACCCCGAGGAAAAGAAAUCAACCGAGAUUCCCCCAGUAGCGGCGAGCGAACGGGGAGCAGCCCAGAGCCUGAAUCAGUGUGUGUGUUAGUGGAAGCGUCUGGAAAGGCGCGCGAUACAGGGUGACAGCCCCGUACACAAAAAUGCACAUACUGUGAGCUCGAUGAGUAGGGCGGGACACGUGGUAUCCUGUCUGAAUAUGGGGGGACCAUCCUCCAAGGCUAAAUACUCCUGACUGACCGAUAGUGAACCAGUACCGUGAGGGAAAGGCGAAAAGAACCCCGGCGAGGGGAGUGAAAAAGAACCUGAAACCGUGUACGUACAAGCAGUGGGAGCCUCUUAAUGGGGUGACUGCGUACCUUUUGUAUAAUGGGUCAGCGACUUAUAUUCUGUAGCAAGGUUAACCGAAUAGGGGAGCCGAAGGGAAACCGAGUCUUAACUGGGCGUUAAGUUGCAGGGUAUAGACCCGAAACCCGGUGAUCUAGCCAUGGGCAGGUUGAAGGUUGGGUAACACUAACUGGAGGACCGAACCGACUAAUGUUGAAAAAUUAGCGGAUGACUUGUGGCUGGGGGUGAAAGGCCAAUCAAACCGGGAGAUAGCUGGUUCUCCCCGAAAGCUAUUUAGGUAGCGCCUCGUGAAUUCAUCUCCGGGGGUAGAGCACUGUUUCGGCAAGGGGGUCAUCCCGACUUACCAACCCGAUGCAAACUGCGAAUACCGGAGAAUGUUAUCACGGGAGACACACGGCGGGUGCUAACGUCCGUCGUGAAGAGGGAAACAACCCAGACCGCCAGCUAAGGUCCCAAAGUCAUGGUUAAGUGGGAAACGAUGUGGGAAGGCCCAGACAGCCAGGAUGUUGGCUUAGAAGCAGCCAUCAUUUAAAGAAAGCGUAAUAGCUCACUGGUCGAGUCGGCCUGCGCGGAAGAUGUAACGGGGCUAAACCAUGCACCGAAGCUGCGGCAGCGACACUAUGUGUUGUUGGGUAGGGGAGCGUUCUGUAAGCCUGUGAAGGUGUACUGUGAGGUAUGCUGGAGGUAUCAGAAGUGCGAAUGCUGACAUAAGUAACGAUAAAGCGGGUGAAAAGCCCGCUCGCCGGAAGACCAAGGGUUCCUGUCCAACGUUAAUCGGGGCAGGGUGAGUCGACCCCUAAGGCGAGGCCGAAAGGCGUAGUCGAUGGGAAACAGGUUAAUAUUCCUGUACUUGGUGUUACUGCGAAGGGGGGACGGAGAAGGCUAUGUUGGCCGGGCGACGGUUGUCCCGGUUUAAGCGUGUAGGCUGGUUUUCCAGGCAAAUCCGGAAAAUCAAGGCUGAGGCGUGAUGACGAGGCACUACGGUGCUGAAGCAACAAAUGCCCUGCUUCCAGGAAAAGCCUCUAAGCAUCAGGUAACAUCAAAUCGUACCCCAAACCGACACAGGUGGUCAGGUAGAGAAUACCAAGGCGCUUGAGAGAACUCGGGUGAAGGAACUAGGCAAAAUGGUGCCGUAACUUCGGGAGAAGGCACGCUGAUAUGUAGGUGAAGUCCCUCGCGGAUGGAGCUGAAAUCAGUCGAAGAUACCAGCUGGCUGCAACUGUUUAUUAAAAACACAGCACUGUGCAAACACGAAAGUGGACGUAUACGGUGUGACGCCUGCCCGGUGCCGGAAGGUUAAUUGAUGGGGUUAGCGGUAACGCGAAGCUCUUGAUCGAAGCCCCGGUAAACGGCGGCCGUAACUAUAACGGUCCUAAGGUAGCGAAAUUCCUUGUCGGGUAAGUUCCGACCUGCACGAAUGGCGUAAUGAUGGCCAGGCUGUCUCCACCCGAGACUCAGUGAAAUUGAACUCGCUGUGAAGAUGCAGUGUACCCGCGGCAAGACGGAAAGACCCCGUGAACCUUUACUAUAGCUUGACACUGAACAUUGAGCCUUGAUGUGUAGGAUAGGUGGGAGGCUUUGAAGUGUGGACGCCAGUCUGCAUGGAGCCGGCCUUGAAAUACCACCCUUUAAUGUUUGAUGUUCUAACGUUGGCCCCUGAUCGGGGUUGCGGACAGUGUCUGGUGGGUAGUUUGACUGGGGCGGUCUCCUCCUAAAGAGUAACGGAGGAGCACGAAGGUUGGCUAAUCCUGGUCGGACAUCAGGAGGUUAGUGCAAUGGCAUAAGCCAGCUUGACUGCGAGCGUGACGGCGCGAGCAGGUGCGAAAGCAGGUCAUAGUGAUCCGGUGGUUCUGAAUGGAAGGGCCAUCGCUCAACGGAUAAAAGGUACUCCGGGGAUAACAGGCUGAUACCGCCCAAGAGUUCAUAUCGACGGCGGUGUUUGGCACCUCGAUGUCGGCUCAUCACAUCCUGGGGCUGAAGUAGGUCCCAAGGGUAUGGCUGUUCGCCAUUUAAAGUGGUACGCGAGCUGGGUUUAGAACGUCGUGAGACAGUUCGGUCCCUAUCUGCCGUGGGCGCUGGAGAACUGAGGGGGGCUGCUCCUAGUACGAGAGGACCGGAGUGGACGCAUCACUGGUGUUCGGGUUGUCAUGCCAAUGGCACUGCCCGGUAGCUAAAUGCGGAAGAGAUAAGUGCUGAAAGCAUCUAAGCACGAAACUUGCCCCGAGAUGAGUUCUCCCUGACUCCUUGAGAGUCCUGAAGGAACGUUGAAGACGACGACGUUGAUAGGCCGGGUGUGUAAGCGCAGCGAUGCGUUGAGCUAACCGGUACUAAUGAACCGUGAGGCUUAACCUUACAACGCCGAAG